AUUCAGUCAGGAGYGGCGCCCGCGGAAGCCGGAAAACCAGUAGGGCCUCCCUAAGCAGGGGCCGUCCGGUACCGCGUCAGCCGUCRCCGAGGACGCAUUUGACUCUCGCCCGAAGGACGCCGCAGCCGGUUGGGUCGCAGAAAGCGCGACGGCCUGAAAGGCGGGAAAUGGCAGGUGACCGGUGGAGGACCAAAGUCCUUCCUACCGCCGGUUGUUAGCCGUCCCGUCGGUGGCUCGUCACCCGACCGAGGUAUCACCAAGCCCACCAGGGCUGCCCCGUCCCCUCCGUAAUGGAUAAUCGGGACAGAUCGUCGCAGGCGAAAUCCGCCGUCCCGUCGCACUCCCCGAGAGUGGGCGAGCGAACGGGAAUCACCGAUGGCGACGACGGACCCGUCGGAGGUCGGAGGCUGGCGGCGAGUAGGUCGGUCACCCACCCGACCCGUCUUGAAACACGGACCAAGGAGUCUAACAUGUGCGCGAGUCAAUGGGUCUUGAACAGGCCCAGAGGCGCAAUGAAAGCAAAGGCCCGGCACCACGCCGGCCGAGUUGGGAUCCCCCGACUCUAGCGCGGGGGCGCACCAACGACCCGUCCUAUCCGGCUCGCCGGUUGGGCGGAGUGUGAGCGCACACGUUGGGACCCGAAAGAUGGUGAACUAUGCCCGGACAGGACGAGGCCAGAGGAAACUCUGGUGGAGGUCCGCAGCGGUUCUGACGUGCAAAU
rnacentral:rRNA from 1 species